CCUACGGGAGGCAUCAGUGAGGAAUAUUGGUCAAUGGACGAGAGUCUGAACCAGCCAAGUAGCGUGAAGGAUGACUGCCCUACGGGUUGUAAACUUCUUUUAUAAAGGAAUAAAGUGAGGCACGUGUGCAUUUUUGUAUGUACUUUAUGAAUAAGGAUCGGCUAACUCCGUGCCAGCAGCCGCGGUAAUAAGGAGGAUCCGAGCGUUCUCCGGAUUUAUUGGGUUGAAAGGGAGCGUAGAUGGGUUGUUAAGUCAGUUGUGAAAGUUUGCGGCUCAACCGUAAAAUUGCAAUUGAUACUGGCAGUCUUGAGUACAGUUGAGGUAGGCGGAAUUCGUGGUGUAGCGGUGAAAUGCUUAGAUAUCACGAAGAACUCCGAUUGCGAAGGCAGCUUACUAAACUGCCACUGACAUUGAUGCUCGAAAGUGUGGGUAUCAAACAGGAUUAGAUACCCUAGUAGUC
rnacentral:rRNA from 1 species